GAUAAACGCUGGCGGCGUGCAUGAGACAUGCAAGUCGAACGGACGAUCAGGGCUUGCUCUGAUCGUUAGUGGCGGACGGCUGAGUAACGCGUAGGUGACCUGCCCCGAAGUGGGAUAACUGCCCGAAAGGGUGGCUAAUACCGCAUGUGGUGGUGCCUUCAUAGGCACCAGUAAAGCCGCAAGGCGCUUCGGGAGGGGCCUGCGUCCGAUUAGCUCGUUGGUGGGGAACGGCUCACCAAGGCGACGAUCGGUAGGUGGUCUGAGAGGACGAUCACCAGACUGGGACUGAGACACGGCCCAGACUCCUACGGGAGGCAGCAGUCGGGAAUUUUGCGCAAUGGACGAAAGUCUGACGCAGCAACGCCGCGUGAGGGAUGACGGCCU
rnacentral:rRNA from 1 species